rnacentral:rRNA from 1 species
GGCUUAAUUUGACUCAACGCGGGAAACCUUACUAGGGUAAGACAUUGGUAUGAUUGACAGAUUACUUGAUCUUUCUUGAUUUGGUGGGUGGUGGUGCAUGGCCGAUCUUAGUUGGUGGGGUGACCCGUCUGGUUAAUUUCGAUAACGAACGAGAUCCGAGCUGUUUAGUUGGCCGCGUUUAUUUUUUAAGCGUGUGUCUCCUAUAUGGACUGUCAGUAUGAGGCUGAAGGAAGUUUCGGGCUAAAUCAGGUCUGUGAUGCCC